AAGCGUCAGCUGCUCAUGACGUCCACCAUCGUAAAGCAGACGUCCAGCCUUCACUUUUCACAAACGCCUUUUUUUCCGUCUCCACAGCUUCCCACUGGUGGCACCAUGUUCGGGUUUUCCACCUCAACCUCCUCUGCUUUUACUUUAUUUUUUAACAUCUGUGUCUUUACUGUUUUUGUCGCUGCAGCAGAGGCGCAGACACCGUCCCCGGCUCCGGCUCCUUGUAGCCUGAAAUCCAACAGUAGUUGUGAUGAAUGUCUGCAGAAUGUGGCAUGUUUGUGGUGCUCUUCCACCCAACAAUGCAUGGACUACCCAGUGAAGAACAUCCUGCCCCCCAGCAGUGUUUGCCCCCUGAAUGAUGCACGAUGGGGGGUGUGUUGGGUCAACUUCCAGAUAUUGAUCAUCACCAUGUCAGUACUGGCUGGAGUCAUCAUCAUUGCCAUUCUCGUCUGCUGCUUCUGCUGCUGCAAGUGUCAGAGGAUUGGAAACAAAAGAGAAGAUGCGCAGGUGGAGAGACAGACCCGAGCGAGGAAGGCCCGUCAGAAAGCCAGGUGAAUGGCUGUUGAGAAAACAGAGAUCCAGCUGAGGCAUGAUGAAAUAAGACAGAAAUAUGGCAUAGCGAAGGAAAAUCCUUACGCCCGCAUGGAUGAUCAUUAGGAGGAAUGUCCGUGAAGAGGAUCUUUUUGAUGCCAAUGAAAUACAGUCACAUGUGUAACUAUUGAUAAACUGUGAUCUUCCAGAUUAAUUUCAGUGUGACCGAGCUAAAAAUAAAAACCUUGUCUUUACUUAACACUUGUUUCACAAACAAAGGCCCCCUAAUGUCAGUUUAAAAGGAUUGUUCAACUAAUAUGCUUUUCUGUCCAUGUGUAAAACAAGCUGUAAGGCACAGUGUUGUCACCCAAGACAGGCUAAAACAUUGAUACUGAAGGAUUUUACAGAUAUUGCAGUGUUAUAACAGCUAUGCUUUCAUUCUGCAUCAGAACGACUGCGGUCUGAUCUAAAGGGCCUCUAACAGGUUUUUAUUUUGUCUGAUUUCAAACUUUAUUAGAUUAGUCUUAAAAUGUAUCAGAGUCUUUUAAUGACUUGAUUCGUCAGAUCUUUGUGCAGGUAAUAAUAGAUUUGAAAAUAAAGACAAUAAACAAUUG